rnacentral:misc_RNA from 1 species
AAUCAACUAGUAAUAAUGCAGUUCUUGGUCAUCAGAUGAACCACAAUAAUGUUCAAUCGUCGGUGAGUGCAAAAAUGGGGCUUGAACAUGAAAAAACUAUAGGUUUGAUGGAUGCACAAGGUUGUAUGGCUUAUGGGAAGGAUAAAGCAGUUGGGCCGAGUAAUGUUGUGUAUAAUACUAGUAAUAAUCCUAAUAGCAAUACGAGUGACGAGGAUGAGCCUAGCUUUAAUGAGGAUGGAAAUGGUGAGAACAACGGUGGGGCACCGGGGAAGAAGGGAUCUCCAUGGCAGAGAAUGAAAUGGACUGAUAAUGUUGUUAGGCUUCUUAUACAAGUAGUUGCUUGUGUUGGAGAUGAUGGUAGUUUGGAAGGUCCUGGAGUGGGGUUGAAGAGAAAAUCUGCUUGCCUUCAGAAAAAGGGUAAAUGGAAAACAGUAUCCCGAAUAAUGAUGAGUAACGGUUGUCAUGUCUCACCUCAGCAGUGUGAGGAUAAGUUUAAUGAU